GACGAACGCUGGCGGCGUGCCUAAUACAUGCAAGUAGAACGCAGUUGCGCACGGGGGAGAAACGCGUAGGUAACUGCCUCAUAGCGGGGGAUAACUAUUGGAAACGAUAGCUAAUACCGCAUACUUUGAGAUGGACCUGCGUUGUAUUAGCUAGUUGGGGAGGGUAAGGCUCACCAAGGCGCCGAUCCAUUGCCGAGUUGAGAGGGUGAUCGGCCAAACUUGGAAUGGGGCACGGGCCAGGCCUCUUCGGGAAGCAGCAGUAGGGAAUCAUUGGCAAUGGAGGGAAGUCUGAACGAGCAACGGCGGGUGAUUGAAGAAGGGUGUCGGAUCGUAAAGCUCUGUUGUUAGAGAAGCGGUACCUAACCAGAAAGGGACGGCUAACUACGUGCCAGCAGCCGCGGUAAUAC
rnacentral:rRNA from 1 species